rnacentral:rRNA from 1 species
GCAUUAGGUUGGGGACUCAUGGGGGACUGCCGGCGUCAAGCCGGAGGAAGGUGGGGACGACGUCAAGUCAUCAUGCCCUUUAUGCCCUGGGCUGCACACGUGCUACAAUGGCCGGUACAACGGGCUGCGAGACCGCGAGGUCGAGCGAAUCCCUCAAAGCCGGCCCCAGUUCGGAUCGGAGGCUGCAACCCGCCUCCGUGAUGUCGGAGUUGCUAGUAAUCGCGGAUCAGCAUGCCGCGGUGAAUACGUUCCCGGGCCUUGUACACACCGCCCGUCACACCACCCGAGUCGUCUGCACCCGAAGCCGCCGGCCGAACCCGAAAGGGGCGGAGGCGUCGAAGGUGUGGAGGGUAAGGGGGGUGAAGUCGUAACAAGGUAGCCGUACCGGAAGGUGCGGCUGGAUCACCUCCUUUCUAGGGAGA